AAUUCUCCUUUAAGUAAAGCAUGAUAAGGGCUAAGCAGGAUGCAAUGCAUUUAAUAACAAACUGGCGCUGCAAAAAAUCCAUGGUUGGUUUCUAUACCAACGCAUGAUAUAAAGAUAUUUCAUAUAAUUGUUUUAUAUGAUUCAGUUUGCUAUUUGUAAUACUUCACAUAUUCACAUUUAAUAUAUGAUUGUAUCUCUUUUUCUACGUGUUUAUGUAAGAGUAAAUAAGUUGCAAUCAAAUUGAAAAUAAUAAUAAUUUGUGUGACUGACAGUACAAAGGUAUGUGCAGCCACACAGCAAAUUCACGGGUGUUAUAUUUCUGGUGUUAUGACAAAUAAACACUGUUGCAGUGAUAGAUGUUAAACUCUCAACACUUUUGGUGUAGAUAUGAUACAAAAGCCAGUGUUAAUUUGCCGCGUUCCGAUUAAUAAACACCAAUUGGGUGUAACAAGUUCCAUCCGGGAUAUUUUGCAAAUUGCUCAAACUUCCAGCGCAGUCCGCCAUUUCUCAAACCCCCCUGCAGGAUAGCAGACUUCUCUUCAAGCUGUGGACAAUUCUGUGUGGUAAGUUAUUAAAUUAAUCUAUUUUUGGCAUUCGUUGAUAAAAUAUGUAUAUUAGACGUUGUGUUGCACUCUCAGACCUUCUUUAUGAAACUGUAGACUUAGAAGUUGCUUUCCCGCCCGUUGUCAACGUACUGUAUAGCUACCUUCGCAUUGACUGAGACAUUGUCCAAACUUUUAGCUGAUAACACUAAAUUACAUUAUGUGUGUUUGACUUGGUGUGGUGUAAUGUGUUGUCUUUGUUUUAUUUAUUUAUUUGAUUUUGCGAUGUCUACCUACGUUUAAUCUAAUACAUCUACAUCACCAUCCUUGUUGGUUAAGCUUACAGGCUGCUAACGUUAUUAGCUGUAACGUUAUGGUGUGCUAAACUAGAUAUAACAUUACGUGGAUGCGAUGAUUGUCAGGAUAUGUGAGCCGCUUGGAUAAUGUUCAUCAUGGGUCUGGGCAAAGUUCUCCAUAAAUGAAGACAAAACCUUGACAGUGACUGAGGAACGGAAGUGGAUGCUGAUGUGUUUCCAGAUCUGGUUACCAAGGACAUGUGCUUAGUCAUCCAUGAUUCUGAUGAAGGUUCUUCAAGACUUCAGCCUUCUCGUUGGAUCUAAAACAUCUGCAAGACAUCUGGAAAGAUGGCCCUCAUACAAACCCAAGCUGAUAAAAGAAAGACCUGCACUACAAGCUACCAACACCAUUGCUGCAACACCUAUUGCAGUCUGCCAGGGACAAAUGGACUUGUCUGUAGACAACUUACAAGGCUGGGACAGUGAUAUAUCCACUUUACUCCUGCUGAUGCACAUCCUGUCACCUGUCAUCUGGUAGAAAGAUGAGGACUCCCUCAAGAAGAAGAAGAAGCCCAUUCCAUGCCAAGGAAACACCUCUCUGGCAGCAUUCGACAAGCUUUUCAAGGUUCAUUUUGUUUUCAGUUUGAGUUGCAACAAAUCUCUAAGCAACUUUUUUACAUUCCUGCAGACCACCAAAGAGAGCCCAAAAGUAAAGGCAUUGCAAGCAAAGUUGAUGAAUGAUGUAUAGGUGUUACGUUUAUGGGACACUGCAUGGCAAUAACUGGUGCCAAUAAUUCUACAAAAACACAACAUACAUUUUAUUCUGAUAGAUAUGGAGACUGUUUAUGUCGAGCAUCUUUACGCUUUUGAGGUUUAAAGAACUUCAUCAUUUUUAUAUUGUUAAAAAAGAUGAUUUGCAGCAUAACAAACCGUUUGAACUUUAGAUAUCAUACAGCUGUGAUUUGUCAUUUUAUAUAGUGCCUGACUGUUGCAUUUUGUAAUGAACUGAAGAAUGUUUUGCUGUUUAAUAAAUAAAUGUAGUACAUUUUUACAUUAAGUGCAUCUGAAUGUUGUUUUUUUAUUCAGUUUAACAGCAAUUCUAAAACCUAUUGUGUAUAUAACUGUAUACAACACCUCCUUUACUCUUCUAGAGAUUAAAACAAGAAGCAUUAUUUGGCAAUAAAGUAAUAAUAUACAUGCAAUCAUCACUAUACUAGUGUCAGUUUAACACUGGGCUUAAGUUAAAUAGCAACACUUUUGGAGUUGUUUUCAAGAAAGAAUUAACAGUCCUCUGGUGUUAAAAAUACUACAACCUGGUGUUUCUGUGUAACUCUCUCAGUGUAAAAUGGUAACACCUUGUUAGUGUUGUAACUUCUAACACUUACAGAAGUGUUAAUUUAACACUUUUGUGGUGGUCCCCAUAUAUACACCCAUAUAGUGUUAGAUUUAAAUCUAUCAGUGUUAAAAUUCCGAUUUCAAAUUUGCUGUGCAGGCAGAUGGAGAAGUUGGCAGGUGGACAAGAUAACAGUUCAUACAGAUGGCUUCACAUGCAGACCACUGAAUUACGCAUCGCCAUCAUACAUCACACUCAUUGAUAUUCCACACAUACUGUAACCUGUGCAGACUGAAGAUAGGUGAUACAUUACUAUUACUCCACAGAGGGGCUCUUGAACAACGUCUUCUCAGAUCUCAGAGCAUCAAUCAUAGUCCAAGCAAAGGACAAUACUGUUGCUCCAUAUAUCUUAUUCAUAGCAUAAAUGAUGUGCAUAAUGUGAGGUAUUGUAUUGCAAGUCAACUGUGAAUACAAUUGAUCUGAGGUUGCAUCUUGUUAAGAGCGGUGAAAUAUUCUAGAGGAAUAUACAAGGCGGAAGAGACAGAACUGACAUAAAGGUUUUUGUGUCAAGUCCUCAGCACCUUCCACUGGCUGAGUGUUUUUCCCUGCCCCUCUCCCCUCCCAGUGCAGUCUGGCACUCACCGCAUUAAGGCCGCACAGCUGGUAGCAUGCCAUGGUG